rnacentral:rRNA from 1 species
GACGAACGCUGGCGGCGUGCCUAAUACAUGCAAGUAGGACGCAGUUGCGAACGGGUGAGUAACGCGUAGGUAACUACCUAUUAGAGGGGGAUAACUAUUGGAAACGAUAGCUAAUACCGCAUACUAGUAGAUGGACCUGCGUUGUAUUAGCUAGUAGGUAGGGUAAUGGCCUACCUAGGCAAAGAUACAUAGCCGACCUGGGAGGGUGAACGGACACACUGAGAAUGAGACACGGCACAGACUCCUACGGGAGGCAGCAGGAGAGAAUCUUCGGCAAUGGGGGGAACCCUGACCGAGCAAAGCCGCGUGAGUGAAGAAGGUUUUCGGAUCGUAAAUCUCUGUUGUUAAGGAAGCGGUACUUAACCAGAAAGGGACGGAUAACUACGUGCAAGCCGCCGCGGUAAUAC